GGGCGUGUAGCUCAGUUGGUAGGGCGUUCGCUUAGCAUACCUACUUUCGUGUAUGCGAAAGGUCCUGGGUUUGAUUCCCAGCUCGUCCA